CUGAGACACAGAGCCAACAAUGAAGUCAACAAGAGCACUGUUUACAUUAUUGAAAAUGCAAAGCAACUGCAAAACGAAAGUGAAAAAAUUAACAUUGGUGAUGUAGUAGAAGUUAAUGCAGAUGAAACCUUCCUCUGUAUUCUUAUUCUUCUAUCAUCUGGUACCAUUGAUGAAACCUGUUAUGUCACUACAGCUAGUCUUGAUGGGGAAUCUAACUGAAAGACAGAUUAUGCAGUAUGGGAUACCAUUGAAAUGUGUACAGCUGAGUCCAGUGAUAACCUCCAAGCAGUGAUUGAACAGCCUCAACUUGACCUAUACAAGUGUGUUGGGCGAAUCAAUAUCUAUGGUAAUAGUCUUGAUACUGUUGCCAGGCCUUUAGGACCUGAAAAUCUUUUGAUGAAGGGAGCUACAUUAAAAAAAAAAAAAAAAAAAACCAAGAAGAUACAUGGAGUUGCUGUUUACACUGGGAUGGAAACCAAAAUGGCUCUGAACUAUCAAGGGAAAUCUCAAAAAUGUUCUGCUGUUGAAAAAUACAUUAAUGCCUCCUUGAUGGUAUAUUUAUUUAUCUUAUUCACUAAAGCUGCAGGAUGCACUACUCUAUCAUAGGUAUGGUAAAGUACCCCAUACAAUGAAUGAACCUUGGUAUAACCAAAAGACACAGAAAGAAGUGGAGACUUUAAAUGUUUUGAAAAUGCUCACUGACUUCCUAUCUUUUAU
rnacentral:lncRNA from 1 species